rnacentral:rRNA from 1 species
GACGAACGCUGGCGGCGUGCUUAACACAUGCAAGUCGAACGGUAAGGCCCUUCGGGGUACACGAGUGGCGGACGGGUGAGUAACACGUGGGCGAUCUGCCCUGCACUUCGGGAUAAGCCUGGGAAACUGGGUCUAAUACCGGAUAGGACCACUGCCUGCAUGGGUGGUGGUGGAAAGCUUUUGCGGUGUGGGAUGGGCCCGCGGCCUAUCAGCUUGUUGGUGGGGUGAUGGCCUACCAAGGCGACGACGGGUAGCCGGCCUGAGAGGGUGACCGGCCAAACUGGGACUGAGAUACGGCCCAGACUCCUACGGGAGGCAGCAGUGGGGAAUAUUGCACAAUGGGCGCAAGCCUGAUGCAGCGACGCCGCGUGAGGGAUGACGGCCUUCGGGUUGUAAACCUCUUUCAGCACCGACGAAGCGCAAGUGACGGUAGGUGCAGAAGAAGGACCGGCCAACUACGUGCCAGCAGCCGCCGUAA